rnacentral:rRNA from 1 species
UGCAAGCGCUGCUUAACAUGCAGUCGAACGGUAACAGGUCUUCGGAUGCUGACGAGUGGCGAACGGGUGAGUAAUACAUCGGAACGUGCCUACUAGUGGGGGAUAACUACUCGAAAGAGUAGCUAAUACCGCAUGAGAUCUACGGAUGAAAGCGGGGGACCUUCGGGCCUUGUGCUACUAGAGCGGCUGAUGGCAGAUUAGGUAGUUGGUGGGGUAAAGGCUUACCAAGCCUGCGAUCUGUAGCUGGUCUGAGAGGACGACCAGCCACACUGGGACUGAGACACGGCCCAGACUCCUACGGGAGGCAGCAGUGGGGAAUUUUGGACAAUGGGCGAAAGCCUGAUCCAGCAAUGCCGCGUGCAGGAUGAAGGCCCUCGGGUUGUAAACUGCUUUUGUACGGAACGAAAAGCCUGGGGCUAAUAUCCCCGGGUCAUGACGGUACCGUAAGAAUAAGCACCGGCUAACUACGUGCCAGCAGCCGGGUAAUACACACAGUGGGGCCGC